rnacentral:rRNA from 1 species
UUAAAGUGGUACGCGAGCUGGGUCUAGAACGUCGUGAGACCGCUCGGUCCCUAUCUGCCGUGGGCGCUGGAGAUUUGAGGGGGGCUGCUCCCAGUACGAGAGGACCGGAGUGGACGCAUCACUGGUGUUCGGGUUGUCAUGCCAAUGGCACUGCCCGGUAGCUAAAUGCGGAAGAGAUAAGUGCUGAAAGCAUCUAAGCACGAAACUUGCCCCGAGAUGAGUUCUCCCUGAGACUAUAAGU